rnacentral:rRNA from 1 species
UCCGUAGGUGAACCUGCGGAAGGAUCAUUAUAGAAAUAAAACUGAACAGGCUGUUUGCUGGUCCUUCUCGAGGGACAUGUGCACGCCUGUCGUCUUUAUUUUUCCAACUGUGCACAUAUUGUAGACCUGGAGUUUUUCUUAUCGUUCGAAUAGAUUGAGGACUGCCGUCGAGGCUUUGCCUUGUAUUUUCCAGGUCUAUGUUGUAAUACAUUUUCACAACGUGUUUCAGAAUGUCGAGUACUGGGGAUAACAAAUAUACAACUUUCAGCAACGGAUCUCUUGGCUCUCGCAUCGAUGAAGAACGCAGCGAAAUGCGAUAAGUAAUGUGAAUUGCAGAAUUCAGUGAAUCAUCGAAUCUUUGAACGCAUCUUGCGCUCCUUGGUAUUCUGAGGAGCAUGCCUGUUUGAGUGUCAUCAAAAGUUCUCAACCAUGCCGGUUCUUCUGGCAUGGCUUGGAUUUGGGGGUUUUGCAGGCUUUUAGGUCGGCUCUCCUUGAAAGAAUUAGUGGUAUCCGGAGUACCUCGGGCGUGAUAAUUAUCUAUGCCUUGGUGGGUGUACUGUGCGUGAGCUGCUUCCAACCGAGUGUUGACAAAUUUGACCUCAAAUCAGGUAGGACUACCCGCUGAACUUAAGCAUAUCAAUAAGCGGAGGAAGUAUUG